rnacentral:misc_RNA from 1 species
AGAAGGCGCAUAGCCAUUCGUUGGGGCCAUGGGAAGAAGGAAGAAGAAGCAACGAAAGAUGCAGCCUGCAUACAAAGCUCCAAACAUACAGAGACAAAGCAUACAUGCAAGCUGGGACAGCUGGACAACAUCGUAACAUUCGAA